rnacentral:rRNA from 1 species
UACGGGGGGGGCAAGCGUUGUUCGGAAUUACUGGGCGUAAAGCGCGCGUAGGCGGCUCUUCAAGUUGGGCGUGAAAGCUCCAGGCUUAACCUGGAAAUUGCGUUUGAUACUGUCGAGCUAGAGUGUGGAAGAGGCUACUAGAAUUCCGUGUGUAGCGGUGAAAUGCGUAGAUAUACGGAGGAAUACCAGCGGCGAAGGCGAGUAGCUGGGCCAACACUGACGCUGAGGUGCGAAAGCUAGGGUAGCAAACGGG